rnacentral:lncRNA from 1 species
UAUAAGCCUCGCGAAUGUGAUGUCCAUGGCUCACAGAUUGUACAAAUUGUGGGAGUUCAUGGUUGCGACGGGGCAAUUGGAGCUAGUAAUGGUGGAUUUGGUGCUGGAUUGGAUAUGCUGAUGGUCAUGGAUCGCGUACACAGGCUAAAUGCGCUGCGGGUGAGGUGUAACAAUGACAGGUACGCAACCGAGUUAGACAGAAAUUUGGUGGCCCUAAAGCAGGAGUGACUCAAGGAUGAAGCUAGUAAAACUUUUGCUUUAAUUCUCCAAAUCUCAAGGCAUCAAAAAAAUUUAAUUGUUAAUUUUAUAAUUUUAUUUUCUUUUUGAAAAUAUUGAAUGUAG